GGAGAAGGCGCUUGAGCUGCUGGUUUGUGGUUGCCCAACGCCACCCGACGGCAGCAAACGAUCUUUCAGGUGUCUUGAAAACCGCUAGGGCCGGUGACGGUCCUCGUGGGUUCGAAUCCCACGCUCUCCG
rnacentral:tRNA from 1 species